ACACAGACACAUCUUCAACAUAAUAAUUAACCAAAACAAUCAAAUAACUAAACUUUUUAACAAUAUACUAAAUUUUAAAGUACUAUAAAGGAAAAAUCAAUAAACUAAAGUAGUAGUUAACACACGUACCUUGUGCAUUAUGGUUUUACAAGCACAAAAUUAAAUAUUUCACCCCGAAUGCUACGCGAGCUGCUCCCCCAUAGCUAAGCGCCCACUACUAGUUGUAGCACCAACUUUAGAAAAUGGGGUAGCAGAGGCUACAUACCAUACGCGCUAGACAAUUGCUGGUCAUCAGUAAACCUUAUAAAUUAAAUCACAUAAUAUUAUUAUAGUGUUAGAUCUUAGAGGAUAAGCCCUAGGAUCCUGAGCUAAUUAUCAUUUAUAUAUUUAAGUAGGCUUAAAAUCAGCCACCAACACUACUUUACCGUUAAACACCUCUAAUAACUAACAAAAAUGCAAACCAAAACUGAUAUUUAAGAUAAACAUUUAACCUUAUAAUAUUAUGUAAAAAUAAGUAUUUAAACACCCAAAUAUUCACCAUCCUUACAAACACUUAUAAAGGAACUCGGCAAAUUCUUAUUUCGACUGUUUAACAAAAACAUUGCUUCCUGCCUAAUUAUAAGAAGUAAUUCCUGCCAG
rnacentral:rRNA from 1 species